rnacentral:lncRNA from 1 species
GCCAGACAUUAGAACACUUGUUCGGUUCCCUACCCUUUGGAAGCCAGGCCCCAGUGCAUCGCUUUGGGCCAUUGCUGCCGAUAAUUUUUCAGAGAUAAACAAACCGGUUUGGAUAAAACAAGAUCCAACCUGAUUUCUUCACCCAAAACUCAGAAUGAAACUCUCCUAUCACCCAUCAGUGGGGUCUGCUCGGUCCCUGUAGCUAAUUUACACCCGUCAGGGUUUAAAAUAGCAGAGGCAUAAAUGAAAAGUCCAAUUUCUUCAAAUUUGCAUUGUAAAACCAUCCUUCAACUUCCUUGAAAUAAAUUUUACUAUUUUAUUAGUGCAAACAAAAUGGUAAUAAAACACUAAUACAGCGUCUUGUAUCCAGGGGAAGAGCUAAAAUUAACAUAGAGCGAGCAGUGUUUGCUAUUACAUUCAAUUACCUUUUUACUUGAGAUUUACAUUCUCAUCCCCUUAAUCUCCAUAGUAGUGGCUUC